AUUGAACGCUGGCGGCAGGCUUAACACAUGCAAGUCGAGCGGGGGAGGUUGCUUCGGUAACUGACCUAGCGGCGGACGGGUGAGUAAUGCUUAGGAAUCUGCCUAUUAGUGGGGGACAACAUUCCGAAAGGGAUGCUAAUACCGCAUACGCCCUACGGGGGAAAGCAGGGGAUCUUCGGACCUUGCGCUAAUAGAUGAGCCUAAGUCGGAUUAGCUAGUUGGUGGGGUAAAGGCCUACCAAGGCGACGAUCUGUAGCGGGUCUGAGAGGAUGAUCCGCCACACUGGGACUGGGACACGGCCCAGACUGCUACGGGAGGCAGCAGUGGGGAAUAUUGGACAAUGGGCGGAAGCCUGAUCCAGCCAUGCCGCGUGUGUGAAGAUGGCCUUUUGGUUGUAAAGCACUUUAAGCGAGGAGGAGGCUCUUAAGGUUAAUACCCUUGAUGAGUGGACGUUACUCGCAGAAUAAGCACCGGCUAACUCUGUGCCAGCAGCCGCGGUAAAAC
rnacentral:rRNA from 1 species